AAUAUCAUCCUUUUGCCAUGGCCUAAAUACUUGGCUAGAAGAAGAAGAAGAAGAAGAAGAAGGAAGCUGUUUAUCCUUGCAUGUCCCUGGAUAUAUUUGUUGAUAGUCACCUAGUUAUUUUGUUGUUAUACAUUAUGGUUAGAUGACCAUCAACAAACACAUUCAUGAUGUUGCAUUUCCUCAAAGUUAGUAUGCAACUGAUGUUGGUAAGUGACCCCAAAGUAAUUGCUUUUGUUAUAUAUUACUUUUAAUUUCUAUUCUCUUUUAUUUUCACUUCUCCUUUGAGGGUCUAAUCAAGAUAUUCUUCUACUUUGUUAUAUAUAUAUAUAUAUAUAUAUAUAUAUUACUCAUGUACUGUUAGACCCAAGCAUUGACCCACCAAAGUAAAGAAACAUUUCUAGAGAAGCUCAGUUGAUAGAUCCUCAUCCUCUUGAGCCAAUCAUCAAAAGUUGUCCACCUCCAGAGAUUUAUGAACCUGUAGGAAAGAAUAAUGGAGAAUAAUAGAAGAUUGGUUACAAAAUUCAGCUGAGCUUGCCAUUGGAUUUCCAUUAUCAUAGCGAACGUCCUCUUCUCUUCCUCACCAGUGACCGUCAAAAGACGGCUACCCAUAGGAUUGUUGUUGAUAAAGGAGUCGGCCUUAGCCGCACAAAACCAUUGUUGCUUGUACAGGCAUCACAAACACACCGAAAACAACUAACUUCAAGAAAUAAUACACAAAGAUAAGUAACAAAGUAUGGAGGAUGUAUUGAAUUAAGCGAAAUAAAAACUUUAAUAGAAUUGAAAAGUUAUG
rnacentral:lncRNA from 1 species